ACCAGACUCCUACGGGAGGCAGCAGUGGGGAAUAUUGCACAAUGGGGGAAACCCUGAUGCAGCGACGCCGCGUGAGUGAAGAAGUAUUUCGGUAUGUAAAGCUCUAUCAGCAGGGAAGAAAAUGACGGUACCUGACUAAGAAGCCCCGGCUAACUACGUGCCAGCAGCCGCGGUAAUACGUAGGGGGCAAGCGUUAUCCGGAUUUACUGGGUGUAAAGGGAGCGUAGACGGCAGCGCAAGUCUGAAGUGAAAUCCCAUGGCUUAACCAUGGAACUGCUUUGGAAACUGUGCAGCUGGAGUGCAGGAGAGGUAAGCGGAAUUCCUAGUGUAGCGGUGAAAUGCGUAGAUAUUAGGAGGAACACCAGUGGCGAAGGCGGCUUACUGGACUGUAACUGACGUUGAGGCUCGAAAGCGUGGGGAGCAAACAGGAUUAGAUACCCUAGUA
rnacentral:rRNA from 1 species